ACCCUUUUGAUCUGUUUACUAAUCUUUCUAUUGACCCAUAUCCCAGACUUUGUAUAUAUCAUGUUUUUAAAGUAUUGAAUAAGUGAACCAUUAUAUAUGCGAAUGACUGUAGAGGGAGUAACAGAGUUUGUAUUUCUAGGUAACACUUCCCAAAAUGAAAAUAUGUUGUAUAAUAACCCCUUCAGCAAUAAGCUUCCUCUUCGACUCCAAGUUGAAAAGGAAUUCGGUGUCUGUUGCAGGAAAAAUCAAUAAAAAAGGUUAUGUUAAUGAAACUCAAGAAUGUACAGACAUUGUGCUUUCUGGGUGAAGCAAGCUUGCGUUUGAAUUGUCUGCUCUCUCCGGGGCAAGUCUUUACCAUGAAAGCGGAAGCAAGCUCUGAAUUUGGGAAUUUGUUAUUGCCACAAUUUAUCAGUGUCAUACCUACUCCAAAUGGAUGUUAUCAAUGUUAAAAAAAAGAAUAUCCUAGGCCAAUAACAUAUGAUGAAAAUUCUUGCAUUUUAUAAUGCACUUUGCACUUAAGAAGCUAGUUCUCAUUUUGAAAAGUAAAGAAAAACAAAAGCAGAGAAGUUAAAUGCUGCAUAGCAAGUUAUUAAACCUGUUUAUGGCACUAAUAGUAAUAGAUUAUUCCCGUGAAAAUACAAACCGACUUAGUACAUGUUUGCUUUUCAUGUCUAAAGUCGAGAGUCCUCACAUCUAGACAAUUGCUUUUGUUACACUGUUUGAAGAAAUCUUCCUUUUGUUAGUUCUUUUGGUUUUUUUUUUUUUUGCUUAUAUCCCUGAGAAUAUUAUAUUUUUGAAAAAUUUUGUAUAUCUCAAAAAUAAUACACAUUUAUAAAACCUAUCAUUAAGUCUUUAUAAUUUCAUCAACCUAUUUCUUAGAAACAAUUUGCUACUUAGUAUAAAAUGUAAUUUUUUGUGGUUGUGGUUGUGGUUGUAGCUGGUACUGGAGAUUGAACUCAGGGGGCCUUUAUCACUGAGCUACCACUGACCUACAUUCCCAGCAUUUACCCACCUCCUUUUUUCUUCCUUGAGAAGGUGUCUUGCUAAGUUAGGUUGCUUAGGUCCUCACUAAAUAGCUGUGGCUGGCUUAGAACCUGUGAUCCUCCUGCCUCAAUCUCUAGUGUUGCUGGGAUUACAUGUCUGCACCACCAAGCCUGCAAAAUGUAGUUUUUAUCAUAUAGUGAUUUCCAUUGAUAAAUGCCACAAAUAAAUUGCAUGUCUAAAAAUAUGUCUGAUUUCUCAAAAUAAAUUAAGAACUACUAAGAUUUUCUACUUGUGAGUUUAAAGGAGAUCUAUCUAUCAGUUUUUUAAAAAAUAAAAUCAACGAAUUUCACUAGAUAACAUCCAUAUAGUAGAAUACAAAAAAAAAUAUCUAUUAAAAAAGUAAUUCUGUAAUUUAUUUAUCAAUGGUUUCUCCUAUCUAUUAACCUCCUCAAAUAAACACAAGUAUUUAAAAUAAUGCAGUAGCUUAAUCAAUCCCUAACAGAAGCUGCUUUUGAAUGACUUCUGGAAAUCCAACCCAUAUUUUCACAUCCAAGAUUUUUUUAAAUGGCAUACCCUGCUGUGCACUGAGCCUCAAUUUCUGUGAACUGUCAUAGCCAAGAGUUAGGAUAAGCAACGGAAAACUGAUAGCUUUUCUACAAUUUCCAGAUUCAUAAAAUUCAAAUAAUUAUAUCAUUUCUCAAGUAAGAAGUUCCAUAUUGGCCUGUGACCAAUGCCUGCUGUUCCACUAUUGGCUUUGAUCUCCUUAAAAAUGUGAAAUUCAAUGAUGAUUAAAUUGGUAACUUUUAUCACAACAGUACACUUCUUUCUUGAGACUCAAUUAGGGGUGAAGGUGGGAGACAAGACCUGUAGAUUAUUCAGUUCUUUAACAAAGAUUGAGAUCUAAAACUAGAACUCUAACUGCUACCCUUAUGAACUGAACUAACAUAGGUGAACACCAUGGUCAAAGCUUCUCUAAUGGCCUCUUUCCCUAGACAUUCUGGCCCUUGGAAUUGUACUCCUUUUUCAUUACAAAGAAACAGAAAGAUCAACCUAGGAAUAAGGAGAUCCUCCCUAAACUUCUUUCACCAUGGCUCCCAUGCCUUACCCAUUAGGCUUUGCCAGAGCUGGGAAGAAGCUUAGAGAAGGUUGGAAAUGGGGAGUCAGAAGAAGUCUUUAUCCCACCUGUUGCAUGAAAGAAAUAGAUGAGAAAUAAAGUAAUGCAAACAGGGAGGAAGGAUGAUCCAAAUGUGGAAAUAAUCCUAACUGAAAUGUUCCAUAAGGAAGCAAUGUGUUUUCAUUCCUGGGAUGAGGCCCAUAGAUGAGGUCCAUAGAUGAAGCUCAUAGAUAGAGAACAUAUAGAAUACUAUCUGCUAAAUUUCGUCACAUAACACCAGCUUCUCCUUCUAAUGGAAAAAAGAAUCAGGGAAAGGGGCAGGGAAGUGGAAUGGAAAAGUUUGACUUUUCCUUGGUGAUUUGGAAUAUUUCUAAAAGAAAUAAAGUGACUUUUCUAAAAGUCACUGUCAGAAAAGGAAGGACUGUAGGAGAUCUUCUAAAGACUUUGCACUAAACCUGGAAGCUGAGCAGCCACUUGCUAAUAUAUCUUUACCUUGUCAUCAUCCUUCUUCAAAUCAGCUUUAUUCUCAAGGCAUAUCUCCAAAGCCCCUGUUCUCAGGUUCUUAAAUUUACCAGCAUUCUUACUUUCUAGACUAAGAUUCUUAAAUUUACCAGCACUCUUGCUUUCUAGAGAUGUUUGAACUGGUACUGAAUGCUAUCAAAGGAGUUUUAAUAUUAAUUCCAUUUCUACACAGUUAUUUUUCAAUAAUAACAGAAAAAUGCAAAGAGUCACAAUAUCUAGAGACACUUUUGAUUAUCAUGAGUAGAGAGUCGGUAGUCCUGGCAUCUAGGGUGUGGAGACCAGGGAUGCUGAUAAAAAUUUCAAUAAUACACAAAGAAUUAUCCAGCCCAAAAUAUUAUUUGGUACUGAGGUUGAGAAACCUUGAUCUAGACUAUAAAGUGAAACAGGAUGAAAACUUGAAACACAGUUGUUAAAAUAAAAACAGUAACUUUAUAUGGAGUUGUUGAAAGUGAGAACCUGUAUGAUAGUAUAAGUGAAUGUCCUUAUUUUGAAGUGUAUAUGGCUUAAGCUUAAAUGGGUCAUUAAGUACUCACUGGAUGAAUCUCAUAUAUUUUUAUAAAUCAAUAUCAUUAUAUCAACGGAACCUCUAAUUUUUAGAAAAUGAGUCUAUUCUCAGCAUUUUAUGAUGAGAAUAUCCUUAUACUUUGAGUCAUUUUUACAUCCUACUUGUAUACUAUUUGCUCACCUAACCAUAUUCAGGAGGCCAAUUUUAAUAACUGGGACUUAUCUGCAUUUUCACUUCAUAUUGCUUUUCUGAAUCAGUAAAUAUUUAGGAGAGAGCUCUACAUCAUGAGCCUGACCUAGUGAGUCUCAGCUGAUCAGCACAGAUCUAGUAUGAAGUCCCACUUGCAGCCCUUUGUGUUGCUGGGUGGACCAGGCACACUGCUGACCUGCCCUAACGUGUGAGGCCCACUCUUAAAGGCAGGGCUACCACAAAAAAAAAAAAAAAA